AAGACUGUUUUACCUUCAAUGUGGCCACACCAGAGAUGGCUCAUUCCUGUCAUUUUUCUCAGAAGGGCAAAGUAACAGAAAUGAACAUUUCUCUGCCCCUGUUUAUUCAGGACAGUCGGUUCCUCCAGAGAGAAACCAGUAUCUGCUGAAGGGAACAUAAAGGAGAGGAAGAGACCUCAUUGUCUUCAAUUUCCGUUAAUUGAUUCCUAAGGAACCACGCUGUGACACGCGACAAAUGAGGGGCACCAAGGAUGCUCCACCGCCCAGAGGGAAACAUCCGUCAGAUGACUGUCCUUCUGGGAUGAAGAAAAGAGAAAACACAGUCCUUUCAGGUCAGUUGAAAAGGCUCUGAUGACUCGCCACGGGGAUUCAGAACCUAUUGGAUAAUGGUGGUGGUGCUGAUGGUGGUGGUGAUGGGGAUGGGGAUGAAGGGAUGAAGGUGACGGUGCUGAUGCUGAUGCGAUACUGGUGAUGAUGUCCUGUGACAGGGACGAUGGUGAUGCUGGUGAUGAAGGGAUCAAGGUGAUGGUGCUGAUGAUACGAUACUGGUGAUGAUGUCCUGUGGUAGGGAUGAUGUCCUGUGACAGGGACGAUGGUGCUCUUGGGGAUGAAGGGAUGAAGGUGACGGUGCUGAUGCUGAUGGGAUACUGGUGAUGACGUCCUGUGGUAGCGAUGGUGAUGAUGCUGGUGGUGACGGGAUGAAGGUGAUGGUGCUGAUGAUGACACGAUGAUGGCGCCAUGAGCGGUGAUGGCGUCGGUGGUGACUUCAUAAUGAUGACGGUGUGACGGUGAUGGUGAUGGAGAUAACAGGAUGAAGAUGAUCCUGUCGCUCACACAGUAAUGGCCCCCACAGUAAUGGCCCCGGCGUCCACAUGAUGUUGGUGAUGAUGAUGCUUUUGCUAAUAAGCUAUGAGGCUCAGAACAUCAGAUCAGACACACUUUAGUUUGGGGUAUCAUGAAGGAUCUCCUUUUUACAUGGUCUUAUUUAACAUGACUUAAGGCUAUCUUUGGCAUUGGCCUUCUUUGGGAUUGGAAUGAAAACUGACCUUUUCCA
rnacentral:lncRNA from 1 species